GGCAUAGACGUAACUUAUUUGUAAGGGAUUCACAAGGUUAGUUUGUCUGAAGAACUAAUUCUUGCCUCAUUGAACUAUACGUCGAGUAUUUUAUUCAAAAGCAUUCUAUUGUCUUUUAGUUUACUUAUUUGUAAUACUCAUGUGGACACUAUAAUUUAAAUGUCUCGUUGAGAAGAAGUAAAACGAGAUUUUUUGGCCAACCUAAUACUAAUAUUAUUAAUAUUAUUAUUAAUACUAUUAUUAACUUCAGUCGCCAGUAUUGGAAGAAUUAUUCUAAAAAACAUUGUAACUGUUAAAAUUACAAAAUUUUAUUUUUUCAUUAUCCUGUAGUAUAGUAUAUAAGCGCAAUUUUUCCUUGUGUAAGUAGUCAUCAAUUAUUUAAAUACAUUUGAAAUGCCAGUCAUAGAAACUAGAUAAGGGAUUAGCUAAGGAUCUAAAUAUAGAAACUAGGGGAACAUAUUAUAAUAAUAAAAUGCUUUAAGAUGUAGUUGAUAAUUUACCAGUUAUGACUAACUAUCUUGUUUAUGAAUUUUUAUCAUUUAUUUUAAACAGCCUUAAACCGAGGUGACAUACAUCUUGCGUAAGAAUGACUCCAUGGUUAACACGUUGACCGCCACGAGAAUUCAGAACGUUUCGCAUAAUAUUACUUAUCGCAUUGUACAAUAACAAAGGCAAAUGGUAUUAGAAUUAGUAAUUUGGCCUCUAGUCAUCGGUGACCACCGUGGCGGCCAACGUAUUAACACUUCGGCAACCGCCUGAAAAAAGAACUACUUACAACUGGAAGUUAAUGAAAAAGGUUUCACCAAGUAUCCAAACUGCGAGCACUUUCGAAUGAGAAUGUAAAUAUUCUUUGGGAUGCUUUCAAAAAUAAAUAAUAAGUACUCUUUUUGCAUUAUUAAAUUUGUUCACGCCGUUAUGGGACGAUCAAGAUCUCCGAUCUCCACGAGAGAAAUUGAAACUCUCGGGACUACGUCCGAAGGGAUGCACGAAAGAGGGAUGUUAUGUAUUCAGGCAAGCACUCAGGCCUGUAGGAAGUCUGCUACGUGACAGCGAUGUCAACUUCGAGCAAAGAAAGGAGAAAUGGUAAUAAAAAAGUAGAAGAGGCUAGAGUGAAAUAGAAGGCAGCGAAAAUACAGCAUAAACGGCCGUUUCUGUUCCGUCUGUCGCAUGUGUGCAGCCUAUUGUUCAUAAACGUACCGCAGGUAGAAUGUUUUAUGUUAAUAUUUAAUGUCCAUAAAGGAAAACUUGUUUUAGUGUAAAAAACCAUUUAUAAUGAGACUGAAUGUUGAUAUGUUGAUGAGAUCAAGUAUAAGAAGCAAGCAGAAUGACGUAUACGACUGUGUAACAAACGUUAUUUAAAUUUUUGUUAUGUACUCGCGAACAGUUUUUAUUUGCCUCUUUUUAUAAAUUGGAUUAAGAUUUCUUUAUACGAAAGAAUAUUUAAACUCUGAAAGGAGUGUCGUGAAACUUUUAAUUAAACAAAAAAUACUUCUAAAACAUAAAUGUCGCAUAUUUGUAAUUCUCAUGUUCUGUGUUACACAAAAAUUGAACUUUUAAAAAAAUAUUAAAAUUAAUCAUGACAAGUGCUGAAGCAUUCAUGAUGCCCAGAAUUUUUUUCCUCACUACUGUGUGACUAAAUAGGUAUUAAUUUUAAAAAUGAAUAACGGAACGUUCAAAUGUGCUGUACAUAUAUGAUAAAGUCAGUAUAAAAAUGUUUCUAUCCUAAAAU